AGAGAGGAGGAAAAGAUAGAGGAAUAAAAAAACAAUAGAUAAAAAAUAAAAGAAACAAAAGAGGAAGGGAGAAUCUUCCGUUUUAAAAACCUAUGUCCCGUGUCAAUAUCGGAAUCGUUAGUGGUGACUC